AAGACCGGCAAAACCGGAGUUGUUUACAUCGGGAGCAAAUCUUCUGUGGCUGUAGCCAGAGGGAAAUUUCAUGGUCGCCAUAGAAUUGACCUUCUUGCUGGGAUAGAUGAUCGUGGGUAGUGGAUUAGAACCAUCUGCACAAAUGCAACCCAGAACUGUUAUGUUGGUCUUGUAAUGAAGAGAGCAAUCCUUAAAGACACUGUUUUCUUCCCAGAGUGCUGGUACUUUUCCUAUUGAUGGUAAAGUCCAAGGAUGUGAGUGCCAUAUCCUGAGCAGAUGAUCAGGCAUCUCCAAGAAUGUCCGAUGAGAGUG